rnacentral:rRNA from 1 species
AAUAUUGGACAAUGGGUGCAACCCUGAUCCAUCCAUGCGGCGCGUGUGAUGAAGGUCUUCUGAUUGUAAAUCACUAGAAGUUGGGAGGAAGGGCUUUAGGUUAAUACUCUGAAGUAUUGACGUUACCAACGGAUUAAGCACCGGCUAACUCGGUUCCAGCAGCCGCGGUAAUACAGAGGGUGCAAGCGUUAAGCGGAAUUACUGGGCGUAAAGCGAGCGUAGGUGAUUCAGUAAGAUGGGUGUGAAAUCCCAAGGAUUAACCUGGGAACUGCUUUCAUAACUGCUGAGCUAGAGUACGGUAGAGGGCAGUGGAAUUUCCCGUGUAGCGGUGAAAUGCGUAGAUAUAGGAAGGAACACCAGUGGCGAAGGCGACUACCUGGACUGAUACUGACACUGAGGUGCGAAAGCGUGGGGAGCAAAC